rnacentral:rRNA from 1 species
UACGUAGGGGGCAAGCGUUGUCCGGAUUUAUUGGGCGUAAAGAGCGUGUAGGCGGCCUGAAAGGUCAGCUGUGAAAACUCGAGGCUCAACCUCGAGACGUCGGUUGAAACCAUCUGGCUAGAGUCCGGAAGAGGAGAGUGGAAUUCCCGGUGUAGCGGUGAAAUGCGCAGAUAUCGGGAAGAACACCCGUGGCGAAGGCGGCUCUCUGGAACGCAACUGACGCUGAGACGCGAAAGCGUGGGGAGCAAACAGG